GCCAUAGCUCAGUGGAAGAGCACAGGCUGUGCGUGCGUGCGGUCCCCAGUUCAAUUCUCAGUAACGGCU